UACUGCACUCAUUUCUGUUUCGUCUGUGUGUGGCAAUGUCCAAAAACUCUGUAGACGUCGUUCCAAAGGAUCAUUUGGACAGUGAACUGACAAUAAUUGAGGUGGAGAAAUAUUCCUGUCUCUAAAACAUAAAAUCGCAAGAUUAUAAUGAUGAUCUGCUGACGACAGAAGCAUGGAAGAAGGUGUGUACAGAUGUUGUUGGGGCUGAGAAGUGAAACUCGUUAUCACUGGAUGCACAAAAUGUAAUAGGAAAAGUACAAAAACGGUGGAAAAAACAUGCGAGAAAUAAGGUGGAAGCCUGGAAGACUUACAAAAAAAAUAAAAAGAGUGGCAGCGCAAUGGCUAAAAAAAAAACGGAUGUCUUUCCUGCAAAAAGCCACGGAAUUGAAGCAGACCUCGGAAAAUAUGAAUGAUGCGUCUAUUCCUGAGGAUGAUGAAGCGGAAAAGCACCAUGAAGACAGUGCACCGCCAUCUAGCACUGCUGCUACAGAAAAUAAAAGGAAACUUGUGCUGUACCACAAAAGGAUCCUGUUGACUUGUUUUUGCCCUUUCUUUUGCCUUACAUCAUAGUAAUGGCUACCGACGAUAAUCUAGACUUUCAAACAAAAACAUUACAAUUAACAAAAUCUUACAGCCGAAAGACUUGAGAGCAGCACUGCUACUGACUACUCCAUAAAUACUACGUCGUCAAGUAUGGCGACAAGCACACAAAGCCCUAAACUUGAGUGUCCAAUAACUUAGUAUGCACCCGAUACAGGAAUGCCGGAUGAAGACUCGAUCUUGUCAUUUGAAGAAUGUAAAAAGUGA